AGUUGUAUGUUGGUUUGUAUUCGUUCUUCAUAUAUAGCUAAAGAUAAAGAUUGGAAUAUGCUCAUGGCUACGAUCAAGGAAAAGAAGAAUGAGAUAAAGGGUCUUUGAUUUUUCAAUUACAUUCAAUCUUCACAUAUCAAUUUGUAUUCUCCUCAUAGAGGGACUUUGUUCACCAGAGUAAAAUAAAAGGGUCAGAAUCGGAAGAAUCAUAGAAAAAAAACUUCCUCCGCCAUUAUAAAAUAUAAAUAUAAGAUAAAGAAAAUUAAAAAAGAAAAAUAGAAUAAAAACAAUUGAUGAAAGGUUA
rnacentral:lncRNA from 1 species